rnacentral:rRNA from 1 species
GACGAACGCUGGCGGCGUGCUUAACACAUGCAAGUCGAGCGGUAAGGCCCUUUCGGGGGUACACGAGCGGCGAACGGGUGAGUAACACGUGGGUGACCUGCCCUCAGCUCUGGGAUAAGCCUGGGAAACCGGGUCUAAUACCGGACAUGACUCCAUGACGCAUGUUGUGGGGUGGAAAGCCUUGUGCGGCUGAGGAUGGGCCCGCGGCCUAUCAGCUUGUUGGUGGGGUGANGGGCCUACCAAGGCGACGACGGGUAGCCGGCCUGAGAGGGCGACCGGCCACACUGGGACUGAGACACGGCCCAGACUCCUACGGGAGGCAGCAGUGGGGAAUCUUGCGCAAUGGGCGAAAGCCUGACGCAGCGACGCCGCGUGAGGGAUGACGGCCU